rnacentral:tRNA from 1 species
GGGCCUAUAGCUCAAUUGGCUAGAGCGUCUGGCUGGCAGUCAGAAGGUUAGGGGUUCGACCCCCCUUAGGUCCACCA